GACGAACGCUGGCGGCGUGGAUUAGGCAUGCAAGUCGAACGGUAUGGACCUUUCGGGGUUCAGAGAGUGGCGAACGGGUGAGUAACACGUAGGUAAUCUACCCUCAAGACGGGGACAACCCAGGGAAACUUGGGCUAAUACCGGAUGUGUGUAGUGGCUAUUUUUCUGAUUAUCAUUAUUUACGUAAGUGAGUAAUAAUAAGAAGGGAAAGUGGUUAUUACAUAAAAGGUGGCGUAAGCUGCCGCUUGGGGAUGAGCCUGCGUCCUAUUAGUUAGUUGGUGAGGUAACGGCUUACCAAGGCGAUGAUAGGUAGGCGGCCUUAACGGGUGGUCGCCCACACUGGGAUUGAGAUACGGCCCAGACUCCUACGGGAGGCAGCAGUCGAGAAUAGUCUACAAUGGACGGAAGUCUGAUAGUGCGACGCCGCGUGAACGAAGAAUCCCUUCGGGGUGUAAAGUUCUUUUAUACGUGAGCAGUGUCCUUUAUAUUAAUAGUAUAAGGGGAGAGAUAUUAGCGUAUGAAUAAGCAACGGCUAAC
rnacentral:rRNA from 1 species